GACGGAGGAUGCAAGUGUUAUCCGGAAUCACUGGGCGUAAAGCGUCUGUAGGUGGUUCGAAAAGUCCACUGUUAAAGAUUGAGGCUUAACUUCAAAAAUGCCGUGGAAACUUUCAAACUAGAGUAUGGUAGGGGUAGAGGGAAUUUCCAGUGGAGCGGUGAAAUGCGUAGAGAUCGGGAGGAACACCAGUGGCGAAGGCGGCUACCUGGACCAGCACUGACACUGAGGCACGAAAGCGUGGGGAGCAAACAGGGA
rnacentral:rRNA from 1 species